GACGAAGGGAGCUAGCGUUGUUCGGAAUCACUGGGCGUAAAGGGCGCGUAGGCGGCUUUAUAAGUCGGGGGUGAAAGCCUGUGGCUCAACCACAGAAUUGCCUUCGAUACUGUAGAGCUUGAGACCGGAAGAGGUAAGUGGAACUGCGAGUGUAGAGGUGAAAUUCGUAGAUAUUCGCAAGAACACCAGUGGCGAAGGCGGCUUACUGGUCCGGUUCUGACGCUGAGGCGCGAAAGCGUGGGGAGCAAACAGG
rnacentral:rRNA from 1 species